UAUAUACUACCUUCGUCCUAAAAUUCUUGUCUUAGGUUGUCUAUUAAUGGAUCUAUCUAAAUAUUAAAACUUGACUAGAUACAUUCAUAUCUAGACAAAUCUAAGGCAAGAAUUUUGGGACGGAGAGAGUACAUG
rfam:Hordeum vulgare subsp. vulgare, WGS project CAJW01000000 data, contig: morex_contig_2548301